GUUAGACUCUUAAUGUCACUUCAAUUGAAUGACCUUAUAUCUUCAGAAUUUUUGUGCAUUUGUCCUAUAAGCUCGUUGCAGAUAAAUAUCCUUUUUAGUAAUCUUGUAUGACUAGGGAUAUGGUUAAGACAGUAAUAAUUUUAUAUAACACAAAAACUCUGGCCUAGGCAUCUUUUGCUUCUCUUUUGGAUUGACAACUUAAUAUCAGCUAUGCCAUAUACAAUUUUAUUCUUUUUAAGGGGGGGUGGGGUUGGCGAAGUUGGGUGAAGAAUACUUAGCUGUCCGCUUAAUUUUUUCUUUUAUAAGUAAUAUUCAGUUUGUUUUCAUUUUGAACUCUUAAAUGAUAUUCAUUAUCCUUUUAUCUUAAGAAUGGUGCCUACACAUGAUACUAUUAUGUUUUUUUAAGUUUCAUAGUAGCUUGUGUAUAUAUGAUGGCUCUUUCCAUGUGCAUCACUAGUACAUGUAUUCUUAUAUCGAUAUUAAUUUUUGUCAUUAACAAACGGAGAUUGUAUAUUUACUUUAAUAAGAUAUGAGAACAUGUAAAAUGAUUACAAAAUCUUUUUACCUUUGAAUUUGUUAAUGGUGAACUCUUCAUACUCCACAGAGGGACAUGCAAAGGUAUCAACAUUCUGUAUUAGUGCUACACUUGAACUUUAUUUUUUCCUUACUCUAACUUGCAUCUUUUUCAGCAAAUCUAUUGUUGCAUCCUUGUGAGACUAUUAGAUUGUCAACUUAUUUCCUUUGUAUUUUAUAUUCCCUUACUGUUAACAUUAUCCUACUUUCCCUUAGUUCCUUAAAUUGCUGAACAAAGCAGCAUCUAGAAUUCAAUUGGACGCAACAUUAUGCUAAUAAGGAGCUAUUUUCUCUAACUUCAAUCAAGGAAGGAUAAAGUUCUCCAACAACAGAAAACAAAGUCAACCAGAGACUUGGAGGAGUUUGAAGGCAAAGGAAUAGUUUGGAAACAUUUUAUAUUAUUUUUUGGGCCAUUUAUAUAUACAAAGAAAAUGUAUUAUAAUGUAUAUUAGAAUACUUUAUGUUGUUUGAUUUUUUAGCAAUGAAAAGUUCUUAUAUAUUUCUAUUUCU